rnacentral:rRNA from 1 species
GUGCCAGCCGCCGCGGUAAUACGUAGGUGGCAAGCGUUAUCCGGAAUUAUUGGGCGUAAAGCGCGCGUAGGCGGUUUUUUGAGUCUGAUGUGAAAGCCCACGGCUCAACCGUGGAGGGUCAUUGGAAACUGGAAAACUUGAGUGCAGAAGAGGAAAGUGGAAUUCCAUGUGUAGCGGUGAAAUGCGCAGAGAUAUGGAGGAACACCAGUGGCGAAGGCGACUUUCUGGUCUGUAACUGACGCUGAUGUGCGAAAGCGUGGGGAUCAAACAGGAUUA